rnacentral:rRNA from 1 species
AGAUUGAACGCUGGCGGAAUGCUUUACACAUGCAAGUCGAACGGCAGCACGGGACUCAGGCAACUGAGCCCUGGUGGCGAGUGGCGAACGGGUGAGUAACAUAUCGGAACGUACCCAGUCGUGGGGGAUAACUCUCCGAAAGGAGAGCUAAUACCGCAUACGUCCUGAGGGAGAAAGCGGGGGACCUAAGGGUAACUGAGGGCCUCGCGCGAUUGGAGCGGCCGAUAUCGGAUUAGCUAGUUGGUGAGGUAAAGGCUCACCAAGGCGACGAUCCGUAGCGGGUCUGAGAGGACGACCGCCACACUGGAACUGAGACACGGUCCAGACUCACGGAGGCAGCAGUGGGAAUUUUGGACAAUGGGGGCAAACCCGUGAUCAGCCAUCCGCGUGAGUAGAAGAAGCGUGGUAGUAAGUAC